ACCGGCGCACGGGUGAGUAACGCGUAUGCAACUUACCUAUCAGAGGGGGAUAACCCGGCGAAAGUCGGACUAAUACCGCAUGAAGCAGGGAUCCCGCAUGGGAAUAUUUGCUAAAGAUUCAUCGCUGAUAGAUAGGCAUGCGUUCCAUUAGGCAGUUGGCGGGGUAACGGCCCACCAAACCGACGAUGGAUAGGGGUUCUGAGAGGAAGGUCCCCCACAUUGGUACUGAGACACGGACCAAACUCCUACGGGAGGCAGCAUG
rnacentral:rRNA from 1 species